rnacentral:rRNA from 1 species
UACGUAGGGUGCGAGCGUUGUUCGGAAUUACUGGGCGUAAAGAGCUCGUAGGCGGCCGGUUGCGUCUGCUGUGAAAUCCCGGGGCUUAACCCCGGGCGUGCAGUGGAUACGGGCCGGCUGGAGGCAGGCAGGGGAGAAUGGAAUUCCCGGUGUAGCGGUGGAAUGCGCAGAUAUCAGGAGGAACACCAAUGGCGAAGGCAGAUCUCUGGGCCGUAACUGACGCUGAGGAGCGAAAGCAUGGGGAGCAAACAGG